CAAAGUAGGGGGACACAUUUUUUUGCUGAAGUUUUCCUUAUAAGAUAGACAGUGCCUAAUUCUGAAUUCAAUUCAAGCUCCGAUGUCGGGUUUUCCCCUAAGUGCUUUAUUGAAACUGCUUCAGUUCACAGCCUUUGUUCUGUUAAACAAUUCCUAUGGAUAGCAUUGUCAUACUGGGUGAUUGCACUUUUUAAAAAAUGCCCCCUCGCAAAUGUACUAUUAUUUUUUAAAUGGAAUUGGAAAUUGUGCGUGAAAAAAUAAAAAAAGGCACAGGGGGAAGGAGUUCUGAAGAAAUCAAUUUGAAUAAAAUCUCCCUGUUAGACCCUUUCUGUAUUUGCUAUCUUUCUCUGGGAGUUUUUGCUUGGAAACCUCUGGCAAACAGCUAUCUUUGGGUGAGCUGAAAGAUGUCCCUCGACCACCUGAUGGCGUCCGACACCAUGAGUUGCCACCUCAGCCGAGCAUAGCGUUGACCAACUCCACAUUCUCUCAGCACUCGCUUGUUACCGGGGUCCCGUGCGCCCAGGACUUCGACGAUCAGCGCCUGCAACACGUGUCUGGGCUCUCUCGGUUGAUGGUGAUGCCGGGUCUGAAUUCAGCAGCUGCAGUCAGAUGGCUUCAGUUGAGUCUGCCUUUGAAAGCCAGAGAAAAUGCUCCGUGUGAUGGUAUCCUGCUAUUCCAGAGAGAUUACAUUGCCGCUUACUUGCAGAUGACGUCCAGAGUGUCAAACUAUCGAGAGCCUCUUCCAUUGCCCUCUGCCCCCAUCAACUUGCUUCAGGAUCGGUGAAAUGGGAAUCAAAUCAGGACAUCUGCUGGUAUCGGGAGGGCUUAAAGAACUGGCAGGCUUCAGCCUGGAAAUGCUGCUUGUGACGUUCCCAUUCCCCUGAGAUUUUGUCUGCUUCUGUUUCAUCACGAUCACAGAUGUAAUAUCCAACUCAGGCAGGGUAAUGAACUCGUGCUGACAUCCCAAUCUUGUGGACACGUCUGCCCUUCUGCAGCUCUCUCAUCUGCAGAAUUAAGCCCCUGGAUGGAUUCGUCUUGUAUUUAUUAAUGCCCAUCUAGGACUGAGAAUUUUGGCCUUUUGAUUAUGUUGAUAAGAUGGAAUCUCUGGAAUCAGAAUGAUGGAUGAUGCUAAAAUAAAGCCACAUCUGAAUUACCCCAAUUCAGCAGAGCAACGGCCCAUCUCAUCUGACAUCUGAUCUCGCAGUCAUCUGAGACUUAUGAUGGCUGCUUCAGAGUCAAGUGCAAAACUCCCAGGUGUGUUUUGGGUGGGAGAGGCGGCGGGAGGCAAAAGGAACAGAGUGGUGAUAGUUCGGCGCAGAGCCAGGGGCAGGAGCCGGGACAUCCAUCUGUUCUGGAGAGUGGGAAUCAGCACUCACUUUCCUGCGUGUUCAGACCAAGGAGGCUGUGCAAAAGACACAGCCCACUGCCCCUUCGGGAUGUGGAAAUCACUGUGCAAUAUAGACGUGCCCAGGCUGGAAUUUUUAACGAGCGCCCAUUGUGCUCUGAAGAUUAAAUGGACCCUUGCUCCUGACCUGUGUCGGCCCCACUUCAGGGCCCUGAUCUAGCGCUCAUGGAAGUCAAUGGGCUUGGCCAGAUCCUCAGUGUAGUCUGAGUUUGGCUCUAGAUGUCGGCGGGAGCUGGAUUGGGCCCUCAGUGGUAGAGAGGAUCUUGCAUUGUCUAACUUUGCCUCCAGUUUAGGAGGUGGAUGAACAGCGAAUACAAAGAAAAUCA